rnacentral:tRNA from 1 species
GGAAGAGUGGCCGAGCGGUUUAAGGCGCCGGUCUUGAAAACCGGUAAUGGGAAACCAUUCAAGGGUUCGAAUCCCUUCUCUUCCGCCA